rnacentral:misc_RNA from 1 species
GAUGAAGAACGCAGCGAAAUGCGAUAAGUAAUGCGAAUUGCAGAAUUCAGUGAAUCAUCGAAUCUUUGAACGCACAUUGCGCCCGCCAGUAUUCUGGCGGGCAUGCCUGUUCGAGCGUCAUUUCAACCAUCAAGCCCCAGGCUUGUGUUGGAGCCCUGCGGCUGCCGCAGCCUCCCAAAACCAGUGGCGGGCUCGCUAUCACACCGAGUGCAGUAGUUUACUCUUCGCUCAGGGCGUGUGGCGGGUGCUAGCCGUAAAACCCCCAACUUCUCAAGGUUGACCUCGGAUCAGGUAGGAAUACCCGCUGAACUUAAGCAUAUCAAUAAGCGGAGGA